GGUCCCACCUCACCCAGGUCCGUGACCAUGGAUGGUCCCACCUCACCCAGGUCCAUGACCACGGAUGGUCCCACCUCACCCAGGUCCGUGACCAUGGAUGGUCCCACCUCACCCAGGUCCGUGACCAUGGAUGGUCCCACCUCACCCAGGUCCGUGACCAUGGAUGAAGCGAUUUCUCCAGAGAACGUUCCCGUGGAUUCCAGGGUCUCCCCCAGUCCCAUGGCCAUGGAUGGGACCACCAUGGAUGGUCCCAUCUCCUCCAGGCCCCAAGCCCCCAAACUCAGCCAGGGGGGAGAGGAAGGUGACGAUGAUGGUGACCACCACCAUGACCAUGAUGACCACCAUGACCACCAUGACUGUGAUAACCGUGAUGGCCACAAUGACCUUGAUGACCACAAAGACCAUCAUGACCACCAUGACCACCAUGACCUAGAUCACCAUGAUAACCACCAUGACCUCAAUGACCAUGAUGACCACCAUGACCUGGAUGACCUCAAUGACCAUGAUGACCACCAUGACCAUGAUGACCAUGAUAACCACCACAACCAUGAUGACCGCCAUGACCUCAAUGACCAUAAUGACUGUGAUGACCACCAUGACCACAAGGACCAUGAUGACCACAAUGACCUAGGUGACAACCAUGACCGUGAUGACCACAAAGACCAUGAUGACCACCAUGACCACCGUGACCACUGUGACCGUGACGACCACCAUGAGCACAAUGUCCACCAGGACCACGAUGACCACAAUGACCACAAAGACCAUGAUGACCGCAGUGACCAUGAUGACGACCAUGACCACCAUGACUGUGAUGACCACCAUGACCUCGAUGACCACCAUGAGCACAAUGUCCACCAGGACCAUGAUGACCACAAUGACCACCAUGACCACAAUGACCAUGAUGACCACAAUGACCAUGAUGACCACAAUGACCAUGAUGACCACCAUGACCACAAUGUCCACCAUGACCACCAUGACCGUGAUGACCACCAUGACCACGGUGACUCAUCCCAUGAAGAUGAAGACAAGGAGAACCUGGAUGAGGAGAACCUGGAUGAGGAGAACCUGGAGGAGAACCUGGAUGAGGAGAACCUGGAUGAGGAGAACCUGGAUGAGGAGAACCUGGAGGAGAACCUGGAUGAGGACGUGGAUGAUGAGGAGGACCUGGACGAGGACCUGGACGAGGACGAGGAGCCGCAUUUCCACACCAACCCCCUGUUCCAGCGCCCGCUGCCCCCGGGGGUGCCCCCCUGGCGUCCCCACGGUGCCACCCUUGGGUGUCACCACCCAGGAGCCGCCACCGCCACGGGCUGGGGUGAGUGGGGCACCCCAAAUUUGGGGGGGAUUGGGUUAAUUUGGGGAGGGGUCCCACCAAUCCUGAUGGGGACCCCCCCUUGGUGUCUUCUCCAUCCCCAGGACCACCCAGAACUCCGGAAUUUGGGGACCCCCCGGAUCCGCCCCCGGAAUUUGGGGACCCCCCGGAAUUUGGGGACCCCCUGGAAUUUGGGGACCCCCCCUUGAAUUUGGGGACCCCCCGGAAUUUGGGGACCCCCUGGAUCCACCCCUGGAAUUUGGGGACCCCCCAAAAUGGGUGGAUCCAAAAUGGGGGGGGCCGGACCAUCCCAUCCCCCUGGAGGAGCCCCCCAGUUCCUGGGACCCCCCAGAUUUACCCCAAAAUGAGGGACCCCAAAAAUCCCAAAUCCCCCCAGAUUUACCCCAAAGCCCCCCAGAUUUACCCCAGAAAGGGAGACCCCA
rnacentral:lncRNA from 1 species